AUGUCGUGAGCGUGCUAAGGUAGCGUUAUAAAUAUAGCCUCUUAAUUGGAGGCCAGUGAAAGGCAACACUAGGAACACCUGUGCUUUUUAUACCAGAAAAAUUUUUCAUCUGAGUGAAAAGACUCAGAUAAUGAAGGAAGACGAAAAGACCCCGCGGAACUUUACCUUUUCCUGCACUCCUGCCCAGGAGCACAAAAGUGCAACAGGUUUGAUUGGGGCAAUCUCGGAACUACCCAAGCUUCCGACCACACCUAGACACAUCUAAAAUUUGAUAUAGACAAAAUAGUAGUUACCCCGGGGAUAACAGCGUCAUCCAACUUAAGAGUACACAUCGAAAGUUGGGUUUGCGACCUCGAUGUUGGCUUAAGGUUAUCCACAUUAGUGCAACCGCUAUGAAAGGACAGUCUGUUCGACUUUUAUACCCUUACACGAGCUGAGUUAAGACCGGCGCAAGCUAGGUUGGUUUCUAUCUCCUUAUAUUAACACCCUUCUUGAUUGUACGAAAGGACCCCA
rnacentral:rRNA from 1 species